AUGGCUCCGGAGGAGGAAGGAAAAAUACCCCGUUGCACCUGCUCCGUCGAGACUUGUCAUCUGGAUCUGGAGGAGAGCUGUAAAUCAUGUAAAGUGUUCGCGGUGAAAUCGGCUCCUGAGAGCUGUAGGAUUAUGUAUCCAAAUGCUGAAUUUACAAUUCCCACUAGGAAAAGACUGAAACUCAGGUCUGGAGUCACUGAUUAUCCAACACACCUGCACAGAAGAAUUUCAUGUGAUUUGAUGGAUUACAAAUUGCCCAAGAAUUAA
rnacentral:lncRNA from 1 species